rnacentral:rRNA from 1 species
GACGAACGCUGGCGGCGUGCUUAACACAUGCAAGUCGAACGCUGAAGACCUGGCUUUUGUUGGGUUGGAUGAGUGGCGAACGGGUGAGUAACACGUGAGUAACCUGCCCUCUUCUUUGGGAUAACGCCCGGAAACGGGUGCUAAUACUGGAUAUUCACUGGCCUUCGCAUGGGGGUUGGUGGAAAGGUUUGUUCUGGUGGGGGAUGGGCUCGCGGCCUAUCAGCUUGUUGGUGGGGUGAUGGCCUACCAAGGCUUUGACGGGUAGCCGGCCCGGGAGGGGGACCGGGCACAUUGGGACUGAGAUACGGCCCAGACUCCGACGGGAGGCAGCAGUGGGGAAGAUUGCACAAUGGGCGAAAGCCUGAUGCAGCGACGCCGCGUGAGGGAUGGAGGCCUUCGGGUUGGAAACCUCUUUCGCUCAUGGUCAAGCCGCAACUGUGGGUUGUGGUGAGGGUAGUGGGUAAAGAAGCGCCGGCUAACUACGUG